rnacentral:rRNA from 1 species
UACAGAGACUGCAAGCGUUAUUCGGAUUCACUGGGCGUAAAGGGUGCGCAAGCGGCCAAGUGUGUUAGGCGUGAAAGCCCGGGGCUUAACCCCGGAAUUGCACCUAAAACUACAUGGCUAGAGCAUUGGAGAGGGUAGCGGAAUUCACGGUGUAGCAGUGAAAUGCGUAGAUAUCGUGAGGAACACCAAUAGCGAAGGCAGCUCACUGGACAUCACCUGACCCUGAAUGACGAAAGCGUGGGGAGCGAACCGG